CCCUUAGAUGUUCUGGGCCGCACGCCGCUACACUGAUGCGUUCAACAAGUUUCCUUGGCCGAGAGGCCUGGGCAAUCUUCUUAAUAUGUAUCGUGAUAGGGAUAGAUUAUUGCAAUUAUUAAUCUUGAACGAGGAAUUCCUAGUAAACGCAGAUCAUCAAUCUGCAUUGAUUACGUCCCUGCCCUUUGUACACACCGCCCGUCGCACCUACCGAUUGGAUGUUCCGGUGAAGCCUCGGGAUGAGGACUGGUGCCUUUAUUGGCAUGAGUUGUUCAGAACUUGUCUAAACCUUAUCAUCUAGAGGAAGGUGAAGUCGUAACA
rnacentral:rRNA from 1 species